GAUGAACGCUAGCGGGAGGCCUAACACAUGCAAGCCGAGCGGUAUUGUUUCUUCGGAAAUGCGAGAGCGGCGUACGGGUGCGGAACACGUGUGCAACCUGCCUUUAUCUGGGGGAUAGCCUUUCGAAAGGAAGAUUAAUACUCCAUAACAUAUUGAACGGCAUCGUUCGAUAUUGAAAGCUCCGGCGGAUAGAGAUGGGCACGCGCAAGAUUAGCUAGUUGGUGAGGUAACGGCUCACCAAGGCGAUGAUCUUUAGGGGGCCUGAGAGGGUGAUCCCCCACACUGGUACUGAGACACGGACCAGACUCCUACGGGAGGCAGCAGUGAGGAAUAUUGGUCAAUGGGUGCAAGCCUGAACCAGCCAUCCCGCGUGAAGGACGACUGCCCUAUGGGUUGUAAACUUCUUUUGUAUAGGGAUAAACCUGCCCUCGUGAGGGUAGCUGAAGGUACUAUACGAAUAAGCACCGGCUAACUCCGUG
rnacentral:rRNA from 1 species